rnacentral:rRNA from 1 species
GAUGAACGCUGGCGGCGUGCCUAAUACAUGCAAGUCGAGCGAACAGACGAGGAGCUUGCUCCUCUGACGUUAGCGGCGGACGGGUGAGUAACACGUGGAUAACCUACCUAUAAGACUGGGAUAACUUCGGGAAACCGGAGCUAAUACCGGAUAAUAUAUUGAACCGCAUGGUUCAAUAGUGAAAGACGGUUUUGCUGUCACUUAUAGAUGGAUCCGCGCCGCAUUAGCUAGUUGGUAAGGUAACGGGUUACCAAGGCAACGAUGCGUAGCCGACCUGAGAGGGUGAUCGGCCACACUGGAACUGAGACACGGUCCAGACUCCUACGGGAGGCAGCAGUAGGGAAUCUUACGCAAUGGGCGAAAGCCUGACGGAGCAACGCCGCGUGAGUGAUGAAGGUCUUCGGAUCGUAAAACUCUGUUAUUAGGGAAGAACAAAUGUGUAAGUAACUAUGCACGUCUUGACGGUACCUAAUCAGAAAGCCACGGCUAACUACGUG